ACUCAAAGGAAUAGACGGGGACCCGCACAAGCAGCGGAGCAUGUGGUUUAAUUCGAAGCUACGCGAAAAACCUUACCUAGACUUGACAUCCCACGCAUAGCCAUGAAAAUGGUGAAAUCCCGCAAGGGACGUGGUGACAGUUGGUGCAUGGUUGUCGUCAGCUCGUGUCGUGAGAUGUUCUGUUAAGUCAGUCAACGAGCGCAACCCUUAUCUUCAGUUGCCAUCAUUUGGUUGGGCACUCUGGAGAGACUGCCGUAGAUAAUACGGAGGAAGGCGGGGACGAGGUCAAAUCAUCAUGCCACUUACGUUUAGGGCUACACACGUGCUACAAUGGUAGUGACAAAGAGUUCCGAUAUGGCAACAUGGAGGCAAUCUCAAAAAAGCUAUCUCAAUUCGGAUUGUGGGCUGCAACUCGCCCACAUGAAGUCGGAGUUGCUAGUAAUCCCGAAUCAGCAUGUCGGGGUGAAUGCGUUCCCGGGUCUUGUACACACCGCCCGU
rnacentral:rRNA from 1 species